GUAGUUGCGCAUCUUCCGAAUUAAGUGAAUAAAGGACGGCACGUUGUCCUUGUAACGGGGAUCCAGCAGGCUGGCCACCCAGUAAUCAGCACAAGUUAGAAUGUGGGCAACUCGUCAGUCUUUGCGCAGGCACUUUGGUGACUCUAGAUAACCUCGGGCCGAUCACACGUCCCCGUGACGGCGACGACGCAUUCGGAUGCCUGCCCUAUCAACUUUUGAUGGUACUUUAUGCGCCUACCAUGGGGACCACAGAUAAUGGGGAAACAGGGUUCGAUUCCG